AGAGAAAUGGCAACUCAGCGGAGAGCUGGAACUAGAAACUUUCUGUCAGUGUAACGUCCGCGUGGGUGGUGACCCAAUGAUGGUUGGGCUUCGGGUCACGUGACAGCCUCAUUGUAGCUCCGGAAGAGAACGUGAAGUUUAGGUUGCCUGGAAGAAGCAGUAAUAAGCUAGGUUUGGGGUUGCCUGGAUGUAAACAGAGGGGGUGCCUGGAGGUGCUGGUCAAAGGGACAAAAGAGGCCAGUGACUAAGAAAAACAGACAGGCAAAGAGCAGACUUAGCCCAAGAUUCCCUCCCCUCCCUCCCGCCCCCCAAGCUUGUUGCUUAAACCUUAGCUGAAGAACUUG
rnacentral:lncRNA from 1 species